GCCAUGGUUAAGUGCUCAAAGGAAAGAGCAAACUUAAGGGAACAACAGUGAAAGGAGGAAGAAGAUUCAUGACUUGAACAAGUCCCUUGAUUUGUUGGAAGGUACAGUCUAGAAUCCUAAGAGAAGACACCACCUCCCCAGAAGCAGCAAAUAUUUUUAUGGAGGAAAGAAGAACUUAAGGAAGAGUGACAGAGUGAAUAAUAAAGCUCCUCAGAGUUCAAAGAUACACAAAACUAAUGAAAACAUUCCAGGAAAUGAAAAUAGCCAAGAGCAACCAGGCAUAAAAUAUAAACCAUGAUGGAGAUACAUGAA
rnacentral:lncRNA from 1 species